GUGCUUUCUACAGGGAGGGGGCAUAAUCCAUGGUGGUCCAGUGAUGGUACGAUCCUUGAGGUCCAUAUAAACGAUCUUCCAUUUUGCAGUUCAGUGCUCAAUGAGUGUCGGAACCUUGAGGGAGCAGUGCUUCCUGUGGUAAUUUGUUAUUUAGUAUAUUGCUAAAUUAGCAUUGUACUAAAUAAUGGUUCUGCUAUAGGUGGC